UCUCCGUUCGCCAGCUGAGAAUUUUUAUACAUACACAAACACACAGCAAGGCACCACUGUACAAUGACAAGCCAUCAACCAAAAAGAUGGUAAUUUCAAUAAUUUUGGGAGUGACAUGGUGCUAAAAUCUGGGUCUAACACAAUUGGGAAAAAGCCAAGUUGAUGGUUGAAGCGAUAGUAGCUUCGUUCGGUAAGAGUGAAAAUACAAGUUCAAACUUUAAAAAAGGAACUUGUUGCGGCACUCUUUAGCCACUCCCGGAAAAACAAACUUGUAGGCCCAUCCCCUAAUGACUAUAGAUCUGCAGCUUUAACAAUAACUCUGCAGUGAGUCUCAUCUCAAACCUGAAAUAUGGUACCAAAACAUAGCUUCUUAUUCAAAACAAAAAAAAAGUUUAAUUUUCCAAGAAAACAUUUCACAGCUGAAUUUCAUAGAGAGGCAAUACUUUAGGUCAUCAAGCAACUAGGCAUGAUAAUGUGGGAUGUGAGGGAAGUGGCAUGUUCAAUAGCAGUGGUAAAAUUUCAGAAUUUCAGUAAAAAGGUGAAAGUUGUGAGUAGUGUGAGAGGCACAUGUCCAAAAUCUUUACAUGACUAGCAGAACCACUGGUUGAGAUGAGACACCAAAAAGGAAAACAUGUAAUGAAUUGAUCAAUAUAUCAAUGGCUGGGGAGAAUGGUGGUUCAUAUCCUGCUGGCGGUAAUUAGAAUCAUUUUCACUCGUUGUUCCUUUCAAUUUCAAAUUCCAAGAAUUGAUCUUGAAUUCCACAUUGUUUCGUCUUCAGGAUGAAUUUAAAUGCUUUUUCAUUAGCUAGAAUAUCCAACUUAUCCAUCAUGAAGAUUCCCAAGUACUUCCAAACAUAUGGAGCUUCAGAUCCGACCCAUGGUUUGAAGGAUGAACAUCAUACCAUCACCAGAGAUAUAGAAAACACCGAGAUAUGAAAAUUUCAAUCCAACAAUCCUUCUCUUAUGGGUAAAAGUAUGAUGGAGCACCUAUACUAAGGGUUAGAUUGUAUUUUAUCUCUUCUACUAAAAAAUAGAUAAAUUAAUCCAUGUUCAUUAGAUCAAAUAGCAAAUUUGUCCUUCUAUUAUAAAUUUCAUAUGCUAU